CCUACGGGGAGCAGCAGUGAGGAAUAUUGGUCAAUGGGCGCGAGCCUGAACCAGCCAAGUAGCGUGAAGGAUGACUGCCCUACGGGGUGUAAACGUCUUUUAUAAAGGAAUAAAGUGAGGCACGUGUGCCUGUGUGGAUGGACGUGAUGAAUAAGGAUAGGCUAAAUCCGUGACAGCAGCCGCGGUAAGACGGAGGAUCCGAGCGUUAUCCGGAUUGAUUGGGGUUAAAGGGAGCGUAGAGGGGUUGUUACGUCAGUUGUGAAAGUUUGCGGCUCAACCGUAAAAGUGCAAUUGAUACUGGCAGUCUUGAUUCCAGUUGAGGUAGGCGGACUUCGUGGUGUAGCGGU
rnacentral:rRNA from 1 species